rnacentral:tRNA from 1 species
GCGGCGGCGAGCUAGCUGGCAUUGACGAGACGCGGCCGACCUCGCUGCAACUCCAAUGCAACAUGAGAGGCUCAAACGUCUGAUAAGAUUGAGGUCGCAUCGGAUUUCGAUUCCGAGGGUCGGGAGUUCGAAUCUCUCCGAGCGCGCCA